rnacentral:rRNA from 1 species
UACGUAGGGGGCAAGCGUUGUCCGGAAUCAUUGGGCGUAAAGCGCGCGUAGGUGGCCCAGUAAGUCCGUUGUGAAAGUCAAAGGCUCAACCUUUGAAAGCCGAUGGAUACUGCUGGGCUCGAGUCCGGAAGAGGCGAGUGGAAUUCCUGGUGUAGCGGUGGAAUGCGCAGAUAUCAGGAGGAACACCAAUAGCGAAGGCAGCUCGCUGGGACGGUACUGACACUAAGGCGCGAAAGUGUGGGGAGCGAACAGG